CGGCUGAGUAACGCGUGGGUGACGUACCUAUCGGUGGGGAAUAACUGCCCGAAAGGGUGGCUAAUACCGCAUACGUCCACUGAUUCAAUUCGGUGGGGAAAACCGCAAGGUGUCGAUGGAGCGGCCCGCGUUCGAUUAGCUAGUUGGUGGGGUAACGGCCUACCAAGGCGACGAUCGAUAGCUGGUCUCAGAGGAUGAUCAGCCAGACUGGGACUGAGACACGGCCCAG
rnacentral:rRNA from 1 species